GGUUAAUUAGUUAAAGUGUAUAAUGUGGAUUUUGUAAGUCUAAGUUGAUUAUUAGUCGUUGGCCU
rnacentral:tRNA from 1 species